CUGUGUGAGGGAUCAAGCCAAAUGAGUGGAGGAACACAGGAAAUCUCCAAAAAUAGACUCUUUAAUUUCCUUUUUCUUUUAAAAUAUCCUCACAAAAAUAGCUCGAGCUCAUAAAAGAGGUCAAACAAACAAACUGAAACUCAAUAAACUUCUAACUUAGCAUGCUGACUGACUGAAACCAUAACCGACCUAGCAAACACAGACACACACGGGUAUAUAUACUCACUGGCUGAUCAGACCAUAUCAACAAUAGGGAUUACUAGACAAACAUUUACUAACUAAAACUAAAACCACAAACCAGUACAGUCAGAUUGUUAAUAAACCUAAACAUCCUAACCCAUAAACCUAACUAUUUAACUUCAAACUUAAAUUAAUUAACAAAUGACAAAAUAAUAAACUAAAGGAAAUCCUUCAGUCCCCUCUUCAUGGAGCUAUUGGUUUGGCCCCAUCAGCUCCUCCUGUAUUUAGCUGACAGAACCCCUUCAACCCUGUUUGCCUGUCCCAUCUCAGGAAGCAGGAAGUGGAGAACCUCUCAGCACCGGUAAGAGAAAACAAAUCAACUUCAAUUGAACAAAUGACACGCCUAAAAUACAGCAGUUAACUAAAUGUGCGCGCUUACAAUCAGAACUAAUGCAUUUAAGCCGUCUAAACAAUAAAUCCAAAGAAAUAUAAACGUACAAACUGCAAUCAUAAAAGUGCAUGAGUGUACUAACGUUCACCGUUGUGUGUUCAUGGAUGUGGCCAUCACAAUCUGUUAUGUUUAGAGCUGUAACAAUCUGGAAUGGACCACCAGCUGUGGAGACUGAAGAUGCUGAACUGGACAUGACGAAAGUUUGGAUUAGCUGUUUCCUCCAAACAGAAGCCAUCUACGACAGAUAAACAUCGAUAAUCCUCUCAAGAUGCACAAUGAAUCUGGAGCCAGCAGCUGUGGACCUCAUGGACAUAUCUGUCUGAAGG